UACGUAGGGGGCUAGCGUUGUCCGGAUUCAUUGGGCGUAAAGGGUGCGUAGGCGGCCAGCACAAGUCAGUUGUGAAAUCUCCGAGCUUAACUCGGAAAGGUCAACUGAUACUGUGCGGCUAGAGUGCGGAAGGGGCAACUGGAAUUCUUGGUGUAGCGGUGAAAUGCGUAGAUAUCAAGAGGAACACCUGCGGCGAAGGCGGGUUGCUGGGCCGACACUGACGCUGAGGCGCGAAAGCCAGGGGGAGCGAACGGG
rnacentral:rRNA from 1 species